GCUAAACGCGAAGAACCUUACCAAGGCUUGACAUACACGAGAACACCCUAGAAAUAGGGGACUCUUUGGACACUCGUGAACAGGUGGUGCAUGGUUGUCGUCAGCUCGUGUCGUGAGAUGUUGGGUUAAGUCCCGCAACGAGCGCAACCCUCGUUCUAUGUUGCCAGCACGUAAUGGUGGGAACUCAUGGGAUACUGCCGGGGUCAACUCGGAGGAAGGUGGGGAUGACGUCAAAUCAUCGUGCCCCUUAUGUCUUGGGCUUCACGCAUGCUACAAUGGCCGGUACAAAGGGCUGCAAUACCGUGAGGUGGAGCGAAUCCCAAAAAGCCGGUCCCAGUUCGGAUUGAGGUCUGCAACUCGACCUCAUGAAGUCGGAGUCGCUAGUAAUCGCAGAUCAGCUAUGCCGCGGUGAAUACGUUCCCGGGUCUUGUACACACCG
rnacentral:rRNA from 1 species